GACGAACGCUGGCGGCGUGCCUAAUACAUGCAAGUAGAACGCUGAAGGAGGAGCUUGCUCUUCUGGAUGAGUUGCGAACGGGUGAGUAACGCGUAGGUAACCUGCCUGGUAGCGGGGGAUAACUAUUGGAAACGAUAGCUAAUACCGCAUAAUAGUAGAUGUUGCAUGACAUUUGCUUAAAAGGUGCAAUUGCAUCACUACCAGAUGGACCUGCGUUGUAUUAGCUAGUUGGUGAGGUAACGGCUCACCAAGGCAACGAUACAUAGCCGACCUGAGAGGGUGAUCGGCCACACUGGGACUGAGACUCGGCCCAGACUCCUACGGGAGGCAGCAGUAGGGAAUCUUCGGCAAUGGACGGAAGUCUGACCGAGCAACGCCGCGUGAGUGAAGAAGGUUUUCGGAUCGUAAAGCUCUGUUGUAAGAGAAGAACGAGUGUGAGAGUGGAAAGUUCACACUGGACG
rnacentral:rRNA from 1 species